AUCUACUCGGCGUUCCGCGCCGCCGGAUAACCGUAGUAAUUCUAGGGCUAAUACGUGCGAAGCGCCCGAAGCCGCGAGGCGACGGGCGUUCUCGCCGGAUGUAGGAACCGACCCGGGGACCGCCGGGGCAACCCGGCGCCCCCGAGACGGGGCGAACCACGGUGAAAUGACGGAUCGUCGGCCCCGCGCCGGCGACUCGCCGAAUGAGUUUCUGACCUAUCAACUCGAGACGGCGGGGUAGAGGCCCGCCGCGGUAACGACGGGUAACGGGGAAUCAGGGUUCGAUUCCGGAGAGGGAGCCCGAGAAACGGCUACCACUUCCAAGGAAGGCAGCAGGCGCGCAACUUACCCUAAUCUCGAUUCGAGGAGGUAGUGACAAGAAAUACCGAUGCGGGACCCU
rnacentral:rRNA from 1 species